rnacentral:rRNA from 1 species
ACAUGCAAGUCGAACGGCAGCACAGGAGAGCUUGCUCUCUGGGUGGCGAGUGGCGGACGGGUGAGGAAUACAUCGGAAUCUACCUUUUCGUGGGGGAUAACGUAGGGAAACUUACGCUAAUACCGCAUACGACCUACGGGUGAAAGUGGGGGACCGCAAGGCCUCACGCGAUUAGAUGAGCCGAUGUCCGAUUAGCUAGUUGGCGGGGUAAUGGCCCACCAAGGCGACGAUCGGUAGCUGGUCUGAGAGGAUGAUCAGCCACACUGGAACUGAGACACGGUCCAGACUCCUACGGGAGGCAGCAGUGGGGAAUAUUGGACAAUGGGCGCAAGCCUGAUCCAGCCAUACCGCGUGGGUGAAGAAAGCCUUCGGGUUGUAAAGCCCUUUUGUUGGGAAAGAAAUCCUAUCGGUUAAUAACCGG